UACAGAGGGGGCAAGCGUUGUUCGGAAUUACUGGGCGUAAAGGGCGCGUAGGCGGCCUGUUAAGUCGGACGUGAAAUCCCUCGGCUCAACCGGGGAACUGCGUCCGAUACUGGCGGGCUUGAAUUCGGGAGAGGGAUGUGGAAUUCCAGGUGUAGCGGUGAAAUGCGUAGAUAUCUGGAGGAACACCGGUGGCGAAGGCGGCAUCCUGGACCGGCAUUGACGCUGAGGCGCGAAAGCUAGGGGAGCAAACGGG
rnacentral:rRNA from 1 species